rnacentral:lncRNA from 10 species
UUUCUGUGCUGGGCCCCUGUGAACUGGGAAGGCUUUCUUCCAGAGAAGAUGUCAUGGCUAUAGGAAGCAGCUUUUAUAUGGGCUAUACUUGACCUACUUGCCCUCUUCACUUAAGGAUAUGAACUAGGCAGCCCAGGGGAGGGAUAUAUUGGAUUGUGGAGGUGUACUGUAGAAUGAUAGAAGAAAAGAAAGGAAAGUUCAGCCCCAUACCUCUCCCUGCAUCAUAGGAUUUUUGCUUUCUAUUUCAAAGUUUUAGUUAAUGCUUCUCAAGGCAUGGUCUCCAAACUAGCAUGCAGUGUCAAUACCAUCUGGGAACUUGUUAGAAAUGCAAAUUGCCACCCAGACCUCCUGAAUCAGAAGCUGUGUAGAUGGAGCCAGAAUCUGUGUGGGAAUCUCCAGGUGAUUCUGAAACAGGCUGUUAGAGAGCCACUGCUCUGGGUCUAAACUCUUAAGUCAUUGACUUCUCUUGAUCACCGAGUACUUUGCAGAUUACACAUCUCUCUGAGGAAUGCUGGAUUGGUAAGGGAAAAACACCUCAAGUGAGCAUGCAUACAACUUUAGUAAACACACUGCACGUGAAGCCCCUCCUGGGUGCUGCAAGCCACUGCACAGGUGGACAGCCCACCCCAGGUGAAGAAUCACGGGAGAAGAGAUGUAGACUUAGGAAGAAUGCCAAUGUGUAAAAUCCAAGUGGAAGGUCAAGCUCGGCACUUCAAUCUCCUAAGUCAUCCGCUUGGCCCUCUUCCAAGUGUAUUUGACUUCCCUUUGUUUCUGCUCUAUUCUUUUUAAUAAAUGUUCACUCCUGCUCUAAAGCUUGCCUUGGUCUCUCCCUCUGCCUUAUGCUACUUGGUCAAAUUCUUUUUUCUGAGGAGGCAAGAAUUGAGGUUGCUGUAGACCUGCAUGGAUUCGCUGCUGCUAAUGAGACCAUGCUGAGCACUCUGCUACAUGCUGGGGAUCCAGUGCUGAGCAGAACCCUCGGGGAGCACACCUGUUGGUGGAAGGCCAGACAUUAAAGACUUAUAAAAAUAAUUCAAGCUUUGGUAAUGACAGUGAUAGAAGACAUGGUGCUCUGAGAAUAUACAAAAAAAUAAAUAUAACUUGCUCUGAAAAUGUGUUUCUAUACAUUUGACAUUUGAAUAGAUUUUUUAACAGAUGAAUACAAAUUAACUAGACAAAGGUAGGUAUAGGUGGGGAAGAAGGGAGGUAUGAAUGUUCAUACAGGCUUCAAGAAGAAAUAAAAGUGGGCCAGGGAUUCAGAAAUGUGCAGUAGA